rnacentral:rRNA from 1 species
AGAAUCAACGCUGGCGGCGUGCCUAACACAUGCAAGUCGCACGAGAAAGGGGCUUCGGCCCUGAGUAAAGUGGCGCACGGGUGAGUAACACGUGACUAACCUACCCUCGAGUGGGGAAUAACCUAGAGAAAUCUGGGCUAAUACCGCAUAACACUUACGAGUCAAAGCAGCAAUGCGCUUGAGGAGGGGGUCGCGGCAGAUUAGUUAGUUGGCGGGGUAAUGGCCCACCAAGACGAUGAUCGGUA